ensembl:snRNA U1 U1 spliceosomal RNA
CAUCUAACCCAGCAGAAGUGGCUGCCCCAUCAGCAGAAUGGCUUCCCUGGGGCACUGUGUGUCUCGUGUGCUCCAGCAGCCCCAGCCCAGGUGAUUUUACAAAGCUUGGGCAACUGUACUGUGUAAUUUGUGAUAGCAUGGGGCUGUGUUUGCACUCACCCUCA